GACGAACGCUGGCGGCGUGCUUAACACAUGCAAGUCGAGCGGUAAGGCCCUUUCGGGGGUACACGAGCGGCGAACGGGUGAGUAACACGUGGGUGACCUGCCCUCAGCUCUGGGGAUAAGCCCGGGAAACGUAGGGUCUAAUACCGGAUAUGACUCCAUGACGCAUGUUGUGGGGUGGAAAGCCUUGUGCGGCUGGGGAUGGGCCCGCGGCCUAUCAGCUUGUUGGUGGGGUGAUGGCCACCAAGGCGACGACGGGUAGCCGGCCUGAGAGGGCGACCGGCCACACUGGGACUGAGACACGGCCCAGACUCCUACGGGAGGCAGCAGUGGGGAAUCUUGCGCAAUGGGCGAAAGGCCUGACGCAGCGACGCCGCGUGAGGGAUGACGGCCU
rnacentral:rRNA from 1 species